GUUUUUCAAAAUAUCCAUUCACAAAUUUGUCAUCGAGAUUUUUCGAGUUUAAUCUCUUAACUGAACAAAACUCGUGAUUGUUUACUAAAAAUGUCGGUAAAUAAAAUAAUACUUGUGACAAUCCAAAAUAUGAUAACUUCAAGAUGAUUGAGUUGAUAUAUAGACUGAUAAGUGUUAAAAAAGAGAAAUAAAUCAAAAAAGAAAUUCAAAGAGAGAAUGAAAUAUAAAAAAAAAUUAAAGAGAAAGA
rnacentral:lncRNA from 1 species